rnacentral:rRNA from 1 species
CAGCCGCCGCGGUAAUACGAAGGGGGCUAGCGUUGUUCGGAAUCACUGGGCGUAAAGCGCACGUAGGCGGACUUUUAAGUCAGGGGUGAAAUCCCAAGGCUCAACCUUGGAACUGCCUUUGAUACUGGAAGUCUUGAGUUCGGGAGAGGUGAGUGGAACUGCGAGUGUAGAGGUGAAAUUCGUAGAUAUUCGCAAGAACACCAGUGGCGAAGGCGGCUCACUGGCCCGAUACUGACGCUGAGGUGCGAGAGCGUGGGGAGCAAACAGGAUUAGAUACCCGAGUAGUCCCUGUCUCUUAUAA